GUUAACAAAAAAUAGUAGUAUUUAAAUUUGAGUAGUUUAAGUUAAAACAUUACUCUUUCAUCGUAAAAUUAAAUUUUUCUCAA
rnacentral:tRNA from 1 species